AUUCCCAGGUUAGUUUUCCUCAAUAUGUGCCAGAGCUUGUCCAAGUCCUAAGCAACUCCCUUCCCAGCUUUUCCUGUCAGGCUCCCUCCUGUUUACUGUUUCCCUCUGCUGGAGCCGGAAUUGUUUUCUUCCCAAGUAUCAGAGAGGUUUUGCAUUUGUCUUUCAAUGUUUCCAGCAAAGCGCGCUACACAGCAACUUUUCCUAUGGGAGUUCCAGUUUCUUUGUAACAGAGCAGUUCUUCAGGCAGCUGCUAGGAAAACGGACAGACAUUAUUUUUGGAGAAGAUAGCUCUGCGGCACGAGGAGCCUUGGGGACCUGGGCGGCUUUCUUGGAGACGGCCGGACCUGUACAGAUAUGCAGCUAUGAUAAAUUAGAAGAACCAGGAAAAAAAUAUGCAUGCUCUUCACAAGGAAUCUUCCUCAUCCAUUUUGUGGAUACACCACAUCUAUAACCUUAAAAAAGAGGUGGGCUUUGGCACCACAUACUAGAAGGACGAGGUACGAAAAAGGAGAAACAAAAUUUGAAAUGAACACAGGCUUAAGGUGGUGGUGACCUGAUCCAGAACUUCAUGAUAAGGCUGGAAAGAUGUUGAAAGCUUGGAGAAGAGAGGUAA